rnacentral:rRNA from 1 species
CUACGGGGGGCUGCAGUCAAGAAUCUUCCUCAAUGGACGAAAGUCUGAAGGAGCAAUGUCGCGUGAUCGAUGAAGCUUUUCGGAGUGUAAAGAUCUUUUAUCAGGGACGAAUUCGUGACGGUACCUGAUGAAUAAGUCACUGCUAACUACGUGCCAGCAGCAGCGGUAAUACGUAGGUGGCGAGCGUUACCCGGAAUUAUUGGGCGUAAAGCGUCCGCAGACGGUCCGAAAAGUCCUUGGUUAAAUCUUGAGGCUCAACCUCAAGACUGCCACGGAUACUCUUGGACUAGAGAUUGGGAGAGGUAAGCGGAAUUGCCGGUGUAGUAGUAAAAUGCGUUGAUAUCGGCAGGAACACCAAAAGCGAAGGCAGCUUACUGGAACAAUUCUGACGUUCAGGGACGAAAGCGUGGGUAGCGAAUGGGAUUAGAUACCCUUGUAGUC